AAACGAUCGCAAGUCGUCUCCCNCNAANAGGNGGCUCGUACAGUAUACAUCAACCCUUAUUGCACCUUCCUUCUCAAGGUGUGGAACAGGUAAGCAACUUUGGCCGCCCAUAAGCCAAGAUUACUUUUUGGUAACUUGGCUUUGGUGUUUGGUCGUGCUUGCCGGUGUAUUAUCGUUUCAACGCUACCUUGAGUCGGGCUUAAUCUUUGACUGCGUGCAGUCAUCUGUACGAGUGUAUUUUUCGCGGUGACGUGCGCCACGGCCGUCGUUGUCAAGUUCAUUAAUUUGGCCCUAAGCUAAGGUGUGGUAGGUGCCGUGCAUGAGCCUAGUGUUCUUGCGUUAGCGGUUCUCUUCCACUUAAAGGCUUAGGUUUUGCAAAGAGCAACAACACUUGACCUAAACAAUACGAAUCGUUGUAACCCGCUUUCAGGGGAUACACAUUCAGCAUGAUAUUUAACUUGAGGUUAGUCAAACUUCAAGAUCCUUGCUCAUGUUAAAGGUUCAAAGUUGCCCAACUUGCAAUGACGAUUAUAUUGAGAAYCCSCUUCGGUWANGCUGGCCCCACAAUUNUCCACGUUUUGCGACACAAGCUCCGCGUUNCNCUAUGACNUGCUUGUCAUGGCCUUUNGGAUUCAUUCCAAGGCCUUGUUUCAAUCAAUUAUGUAGCUAUAGAGNGUGUUGCCUUGAGCCACACCAAGCUACCAAGAUCAGGUUUGCAAACGGNCUUCAUNGCCAGGGUUGUUUGGAGGCUUCGGUCAUCAAGCAAUCUUGGUUGANGAARUACGUUGUGCUCGUGGUUNKUUGAAGGCCGGCGGAUCACUUUCUGCCUUGAGAUAAGAGAGCGAAACCGANCAGAUCGUGGUGAUUUGGCGAUAUCAUUACCCGUCCCGUCUUGAAACACGGACCAAGGAGUGUAGCAUGUGCGCGAGUCGAGCAAGUUUCUUUUGUGAAGACUUGUCGGCGUAAUGAAAGUAAAUGCGAAUACUUGAUGUUCGUUGCGAUGUGAUACUCGUCUGCUCCGGCUUGUUCAGGGGCUUACAUAACACAAGAGACGAGUAGCAACAUCAACCCGCGUUAUAAAUGCCCGCUUGUUCUGUAGAUGAGCGCCUUCACGGGCCCUUUUCUGCAUGCUCGCGAAGCACGGAUUUGGCGGAGUUUGAGCGCACACGCUGCGACCCGAAAGAGGGGUGAUCUAUGCGAGAUGAAGUCGAAGCCGAANCCUNAAAGGGGUGGAGGACUGU
rnacentral:rRNA from 1 species